UAGCUGCGAUAAGCUUCGGGGAAGUGCUAAAUAACUAUUAUAUCCGAAGAUUUCCGAAUGGGACAACCCAAUACUGUGAUGCAGUAUUAUCUUGAUUAAUCAAGAAGCUAACUCGGUGAACUGAAACAUCUAAGUAACCGAAGGAAAAGAAAACAAUAGUGAUUCCCUUAGUAGAGGCGAUCGAAACGGGAUUAGCCCAAACCGAUUUUGUUUAGGCAAGAUUGGGGUAGUAGGACCUAGUUGUGGAAGAAUUAUUUGAAGUGGAACAUUUUUGGAAAGUUAGACCAAAGAGGGUGACAGUCCCGUACACGUAAAAAUAUUAUUCCUAUAGGUAUCCUGAGUAGCACGGAACUCGAGAAAUUUUGUGUGAAUCCGCCGGGACCAUCCGGUAAGGCUAAAUACUACUGAGAGACCGAUAGUGAACCAGUACCGUGAGGGAAAGGUGAAAAGCACUUCAGAAGAAGAGUGAAAUAGUUCCUGAACCCAUACGCUUACAAGCGGUCGGAGCAUUUUUAAGAUGUGACGGCGUGCCUUUUGCAUAAUGAGCCUACGAGUUACUCCUCACUGGCAAGGUUAAAGUAUUCAGUACUGUAUCCGAAGCGAAAGCGAGUCUUAACAGGGCGUUUAGUCAGUGGGGGUAGACGCGAAACCCGGUGAUCUAUCCAUGGUCAGGUUGAAGUAUCGGUAAAACGGUAUGGAGGACCGAACCAGUUGACGUUGAAAAGUCUUUGGAUGAACUGUGGAUAGGGGUGAAAGGCCAAUCAAACUGGGAGAUAUCUCGUACUCCCCGAAAUGCAUUUAGGUGCAGCCUCGUGGUUAAUUCUUAUAGAGGUAGAGCUACUGAUAGGGCUAGAGGGCUUCACCGCCUAUCAACCCCUGACAAACUCCGAAUGCUAUAAGAUUUUACACGGGAGUGAGGGCAUGGGUGCUAAGGUCCAUGUCCAAGAGGGAAACAACCCGGACCAUCAGCUAAGGUCCCGAAAUAUAUGCUAAGUUGUACUAACGAGGUUUGAUUGCUAUAACAGCUAGGAUGUUGGCUUGGAAGCAGCCAUUCAUUUAAAGAGUGCGUAACAGCUCACUAGUCGAGCGAUCGAGCAUGGAUGAUAAUCGGGCAUAAGCAUAUUACCGAAGCUAUGGAUUUACAGUUUUAACUGUAAGUGGUAGGGGAGCAUUCAAGUUGCAUUGAAGCACUGUGGUAAUGCAGUGUGGAGCGUCUUGAAAAGAAAAUGUAGGCAUAAGUAACGAUAAUGCGGGCGAGAAACCCGCACGCCGAUAGACUAAGGUUUCCUGAUCAACGCUAAUCGGAUCGGGGUUAGUCGGGUCCUAAGGCAAACCCGAAAGGGGUAGUCGAUGGAUAACAGGUUAAUAUUCCUGUACCUGCUAUUACUGCGAUGGAGGGACGAAAUUGUGACAAGUCUGCGUACAGACAGAAUAGUACGUUGAAGGGUGUAGAUAGACGAUUAGUAGGCAAAUCCGCUGAUUGUGUCGAACCUGAUAGUACCACGCGUCUUCGGACAAGUGGAUAAUGACUGUAAUCAUAUUUCCAAGAAAAUCUUCUAAGCUUCAGGUAUUAGCAGCCCGUACCGCAAACCGACACAGGUAGUCUGGUAGAGAAUAUUGAGGCGCUCGAGUGAUUCAUGGCUAAGGAACUAGGCAAAAUAACCCUGUAACUUCGGGAUAAAGGGUGCUCUAAAUUAUUAGAGCCGCAGAGAAAUGGUUCUGGCGACUGUUUAUCAAAAACACAUGGCUUUGCAAAAUUGAAAGAUGACGUAUAAGGCCUGACACCUGCCCAGUGCCGGAAGGUUAAGAGGGGGCGUUAUUCUGUAUUGAAGAAGCGCUGAAUUGAAGCCCCGGUAAACGGCGGCCGUAACUAUAACGGUCCUAAGGUAGCGAAAUUCCUUGUCGGGUAAGUUCCGACCUGCACGAAUGGUGC
rnacentral:rRNA from 1 species